rnacentral:rRNA from 1 species
GACGAACGCUGGCGGCGUGCUUAACACAUGCAAGUCGAACGGAAAGGCCCUGCUCUUGUGGGGUGCUCGAGUGGCGAACGGGUGAGUAACACGUGAGUAACCUGCCCUUGACUUUGGGAUAACUUCAGGAAACUGGGGCUCAUACCGGAUAGGAGCUCCUGCUGCAUGUUGGGGGUUGGUAAGUUUCGGCGGUUGGGGAUGGACUCGCGGCUUAUCAGCUUGUUGGUGGGGUAGUGGCUUACCAAGGCUUUGACGGGUAGCCGGCCUGAGAGGUUGACCGGCCCCAUUGGUGCUGAGGGACGGCGCAGACUCCAACGGGAGGCAGCGGUGGCGAAUAUUGCACAAUAGGCUGGAGCCAGAUAAAACGCCGCCGCGUGCGGAAUGACUGCCUUCGAGGUGAAAACCGCUUUCGCCUGUGACGAAGCGGGAGUGACGGUAAUGUAUAAAGAAGCACCGGCUAACUACGUG